ensembl:lncRNA
CGUUAUUACCGCACCCAACUGCAAAGUAUACACAGGAUCUAACAAAAUCAUGACCUAGAUCUGCUGUACGAAGCUGUGGAUUAGAUGCCUGUAGCUUUGUGGAAAAAAAGCUGUGCAUAGAAACGUGAAAAGUGAGCACACACAAACUGUUGAUCCUCCACUUCUAAACCACAAAAAUCGAUACACAGAUGUAAGAUAGUAGCAGAGUUUCUCAUAAACACCUUUAUGUUUGAAUACUAACACGAGGUGUUCAGGAGAGCAAUCAAGUAUCCCUCUGUUGUUGCUUCUGUUCUCCUCUUAUUUUACCUAGCUUGUCAGGUGAGAUAGUAUAGAAUGAACUUCAAAUCAUAACAGGUGAGAUUGUAUUAAAUGAGUUACUUACAGCAACGACAAAUCAAAUUAAAUAAAAAAAAAAAACCCCAGGAAGUGGAAGUGAAAACAGGUGACAAAACCUACGAAAUGAUCCACUGACGCCACUGAUUUCUGUACAUUUUUUCUUAUCUAAAGUUAUCAGACUCUGCCACUUUUGCAAUAUUUAUCUGUGACUCCGUUGUUUUUACACUAAGAAGCCAAGUGUGUCUCAAAAACAGAUGGACACUUUGCUCUAUUCAGAGAGUGUGGCAGCUCCAGUCAGGCCUUUUGAGAAAAUGAGAGAUGCAGAAGAGCACAUGACGACGUAUCUGUCCCCAGAGACAGCAGCUAGUUGUCAAAAAUGCACACGUGCUCACAAUGGUUGUUUUCCCUUUUUCAGCUACACUGGCCUCAUGACCUUAUGACCAUGUCCAAAGAGUUAGAUUCUUCUGCUCAAUAUGUACGCACAACAAAUGGAUGACACUUUAACCAGGAGGUGAGGCUAUAAGCUAUGAAGGUUUUUAAGAAACAAACUGUUGGUAAUACAUGUGCUGAGUUUUGUAUUAUCUUUUAAAUUUGUUUGCUUAACUCGGUUUUUUUUUUUGGUUUUUUUUACAUGUGAAGGAUUUUUAUUGUUCUGCUGCACUUCUUUUCAGUGUUGCCAUCUUCCCAGAGCUCUGAAAUGGCAAACAUAUGGGCUUAAUGUGGGCUACUUUUGACAUAACUGAGGUGGUUAUUGGAAUAACCUAUUAAGUUAUAUUUUUUUCAUCCAAACACUGCCUGAAAGCUCAACUUGACCUGAGUUGCUGGUAGUAUUGUAUGGGCCUGAUGAUACCUGGCAUCUAAAAUCUGACCUUAAAUUUUUUAAGCAAUAGGGGAAUAGCAACAUUUACCAGAUUUCCCAGAGUCAAUGAUGUCAGUCGAGGACAAUUAUGGCCAUAGAAAACUGUAGAUGUGGGUCUCAGCAGGAUCAAACGUUUAUUGUUAUCUGGGAUUUGACUUUUGAAUUUUUAGCAAAAAACAGCCGAACCCCAGUCCACCUGCUGGUUCUGUUCUUUGAAAGUAAGGUAGAAAAAUAUUGGCCACUCUGAAAAUAAAGGUGAUGAUAUGAAACUUUAAAUAGAAAUAAAAACAAAAAGAAAACAAGAAAAUAAAAUUAACACGAAAAACUGCUUCUUAGUUUCUUUGUAGCUUUUAAUUGUUUUCACACGAUAAAGUUUAUUAUCACAUCUAUUCAUGCUUGGA